CAGAUCCGGAGGAGGCCAUCUGCGCGGGCGGCGAGGGGAUUGAGGCGGCGGCUGGCCGGCUCAGAGGUCGAGCUCGCGCUGUCUCGCCCUCCUGGCCGCGUAUGCGGGUACAACGGCGGCGGCUGCUUCGGGAGAGGAGGAUGCGGCGGUGGUCCUCGUGGUGGAGAGCUCCAUGCCGCUCCUCCGUCGCCUAGAUGCGGUGGGAGCAGGAGGGCGACUUGGUUGGCGGCCGGCCUCCUCACCCAGAGGAGUGGGACGAGGGUCGUGGCGGCGGCGCCGGAGGCCGCGUGAAGCAGCAAGAGGUUGAGGUCGAGGCAGCAGCAGAGGUGAUGGCCUCGGUGGACGCUAAGGAGGAGGCGCGGCUGGCCGAGGUCGUGAACUGAAGCUUCAGCAGCCUCCUCUCAAUUUGCCUCCUCGCGCGGACGGAAGCACCCGUGAUGGCAGGGAGCUGCUGCGGAGGCCCACUCGAGGAGACGACAGAUGGUGCACGGCUCUCUCCAUCUCAUCUUGUCCUCUCCUCUCUCACGUAUUUGGCUCUGAGCAGAUGUGACCGUCGGUGGGGAGGAGGCGAGCAAGCAGGGCGACGAGGGAGGAGCAGCCUCACCGGCUCGGUCUGUGGAUUCGGCGCCGGCAGAUUGCUCCACGACCUGCUGCAGAGCGGGGAAGUAUGCCAUGAAUUGAGGAAGGAGGCCGGGUGUCCCCACCUCAACGGGAGGAGGAGGAGGCCAUGCGGCGGGAUUGAGGCCAUGGGAAGCAAGAAAACCAGAAAAACGCCCAAAACUAUUGAUUGGUCUUCUAGAAUCCACUACUGCAGUGAGCUGUGGAAAAGGGGACUCGAGCAAACUUUCAGAGUACAAUGUAGAUCUUGCAAUAACUCUAUUCUACUCAUUCCCCUACAACAUUGGACAGAUUUCAAAGAAAUGGAAGGUCUACUCGACAAGCUCCUUGUGCUCAAGCUGUGAAGUGGUUCAUAUUGCAACCAGGUGAUGCUUUGUAACCUGCCAAUAUCCGCUCCUAAAUUAUCACAUCAUGUUAGCUGUUUAGAAGUGCCAAUAUCCAGGCGGUUCAUUUGUUCCGAUUUCUCAUCGGCUGAAGCUUUUGUUACAAAAAAUAGCCAAAGCAAUGUACUAGACCUGAAGAUUUGGAUAAUUUGUUUCUUCAGAAAUACAUUUGGUGCUUUGGAUUGUGAAUAGUGGAUUUUAAACCAUUUCUCCCAAAUUUGUACAACUUGCAAAGUAAUACCUAUUAUUUAAGAUCGAUGAGUGUCUGCAUAAAUCAUUAUAGAUUUCAGGUUAGCUUAGUGGAUCUUUUCUACCAGUGUUAAAAGAAUGCAAGGGGUUAGCUUGGUGGCGGCUGUUGAUUGCUCUUGUGUCAGCACAAUGCCCAUGUACGCUUGUUUGCUUCACGAGUACUACUUAAUCAGAGCUAGCUAACUGGGAGAUCCCUUGAUGCUAGCUUUGUUGUGUGCAGGUUCCACCAUCCACCUAGCUAGCUUGUGUGUGAGCUCUCAGUGACAGGCAGUUUGAUCCCUCAUUGAGCUUGUGCCUGUAUAUUAGUGAUGGAGACUCGCAAAGAUCGACCCGGUGGUGCAAAAAUCCCCCAACCCUCGUUCUCCUUGUUUGCCCGUGUGUGGCGGCGACGACGGCGUGCGGGAGGAGGAGGGAGGCAGAGCUGCGCCGGCCUCCCUAGGUGAAGAAAAGGAGGCUGGGGCGCAGCGUGGAGGUGGCGGCCAUCCCGGCUCUGGAUGCGAGGCGCGCGAUGCAUCGCGGGUUGAGGGAGCGGUGAUGGGCUGGCGGCGGCGAUGAUCUCUCCACCUUGCCGGCGUCGCGCCUCCUCGUCUCCGACCCCGAGAACCAACCCGCAUCGGCAGCGGCAGGUCGCUGCUGGUCACAGGGAGACGACACACCGGAGGGGGAUUUGGCUGUGUUGCCUGGCGGAGAUGAUGCAGAGGUGGAGGAGAUGAAUCCUCCAGCCGACGACCCACGGUGGAGUCUUGGCCGCAGAGGUCGCGGACGCCUUCCCGUCCUUGAGCCAUCUCCCCUCCGUGGUUGGCGGCGCAGAGCAGAGUGACGAGCCGCAGGAGCUCGCCGGGCGUCUGCUCGCCACCUGCGGGGGGCACGGUCCCGUCCCCCAGUUCUCCGUCAGGCAGCAUGUGACGCCGUAAUCCGACGAUGAAGGAGAGGAGCUCUCUAUGUGAUAGUGCAGCAGAUGGAAAUUGGGUUUCCAAAUACAAAAGGAAGCGAAGCAAGUUAACAGCAGCUAGCUCAUCAAAUGAGCAUGAGGCUGCAUCACCAACGCCGGACUCUCUCAUGAACAAUGGUUCCAUAAAGAAGAGGUCCAAGCAUGACGCUGGCAUUUCUACGUCGACCAAGAAGAUACGAGGGCAUGAUGGGUGGAUCAAUGGUGCUCCAUAACCAGGGCCUUCAGCGCGGUUGUUUCAAGAUGAGGUUAUAGUUUGGUGUUCUUUUUGACUAGGCUCUACAUGCUGCUUUGGCUAUCAGGUGAACCUAUACUAAAUUUCUUCAUGUGCUUAUCACUAGCCUUUAUUAUGGAUGAUGUACUCACAUUUGAACUUAUUGCUACACUAUGAUGUGUAAUAAAACUAAUAUGUACCCUCUCUUUCUCUUUUUGUGUAGUGAUUUGGCCGCUCAAGCAUUGCUAGAGGACUUUUUAGGAAGCUGCAUUGACAUAUGCAGAUUUACUAAUUAUCGGAAUACUCUUUCAAGUGGAUCAAUGGUGCUCCAUAACCAGGGCCUUCAGCGCGGUUGUUUCAAGAUGAGGUCAGUUUUUUCGCCAUAUACUUCCGUGACAAGUAAUGUUGCCAUGAUUUCCAAUGGAGAUGAUUAUAUAGGGUGUGUAGGCUUCUUGUAAACAUGUCUCCCUUGUGAAUAUAGACUGCCAAUCCUCCUAUACCUACAAAUGCGGAGCCUGAAUCGGUAGCUGCACAGGGGAUCUUAGAUUAUUUGUGUUAGUAUGUAGGUUAUUUGUACCUACAAAUCCCCCGCGCGUUCCGGAUUAUGGAUUGUGCUGAACAAGGUCAAACUAUUUGUGUUAGCCUGUAGGUUGCUCUGUGUAAUCACUCGAAGCAGUGGUUUUGUUAUUUUCACUUGUCACUUUCCUGUAGCUAUCUUUGUACACCUUCCUAAGUCCUUCCUAAUUCCAUACCCUUGAAGCAUUUUAAGAUUGAGGCUUUAACUGUAACACAGUAUGGCAUUUUUUCACUAUCUGAACUAUAGUAAUGAAUAUGUAAGUAUUGGUGAUCUUACAUUUUGCAGGCAGGUCAAGUUCUUGCUGUAUCUUAUCAGCAUAUAAACCUACUAACCGAUAUUUUAGUAGAACAAGAAUCGUUCUUGAAUACUUUGCUUGUGAUAGGCUGUAGCAUGCCUAUUUAGUAUAUCAUGGGUUACUCGAGUUCCAAUUUAUUUCUGCAUCUUUAUAUUUAGCCACUGCUAUGCACCAAAAUGAUCUGUUUUCUGGUUGAUAUUUGCGGGCAUACAGCUUUUCAUUCAUGAGUUCUUAUUGUUUUUCGAGGAACUUUGAUUUUAUUCAAUUUUGGGUAUUUUAGUACAUCAGGACGAUCCUUCAAAAUUUCUCAUCCACUGGCAUUGACUUAUUUACCCAUACUCGUGAACUUACAAGAAUAUUAAAAUCAUUAUUGCUGGUGGUCUCCAGGUAUAAUAGAAACUCAAGCACACUGCAUUGUUCUGGUGUAGUGUUUAAGCCUUUAUGGGUUAAGAUUUUAAUCAAAGAUUAAUUUAAAGGAAGAGAUGCAGAAGUAGUCAAUUCUAUGGUAACCACGGCACAGUACUAUACCUAUAAUCUUGAUGGAUGCAAUGACUUUUUGAUUUCCAUGUGGAAAAAGUUAUUCAGCUCUGGUUGGCUAUUCGGUACUGUUUUUUUUAUUAGUAAUGUUGUUGAAGUACAAACUUUCACCAAAGACAUCAGCUCAGCAGUGGGCGGUGUCGAUGAUGACAUGGGAUCCCCAGAUCCAGGCAUUGUAGAUUCCGAUGGCAUCACUACUGAUAAACCGUCGGUGGAGCGCGAGGCGUAUGAAGAGGUCAAGCUCGAGAAGGACCAUGCCGCGAAGGAGAUGAAAGCCCCUAAGGCGAAGAUGGCAGCUUUGAGUGAAGCUUUGAAGGCAGUGGACAUCGAGAUGGAAGAGUUGGAGUCGAGUGUGAAGAAUAAUGCACAAGCUAUGCAUCAUAUAGUGAAUGCACCAUGGUGACUGUCAACAAUAUUUGCGCGGCUUCAGUAACAUAUUUUUGUUUCUGUUUUGAGAACAUCUCCGGGGACAUUUUUUGUUUCGGUGUGAGAACAACUGCAGUUACUAUGGUACUGUUUUUGGUGCAACAAAAAUAUAGAUUUAAGCAUGUAAAUAAAUUAGCUGUUAAAUUGCCAUCCUAAUGUGAGCAUCCAUUCGCAUAUUAAACGCUUUCAUUUGCACUUA